CCUACGGGCGGCUGCAGUGGGGAAUAUUGCACAAUGGGCGCAAGCCUGAUGCAGCCAUGCCGCGUGUGUGAAGAAGGCCUUCGGGUUGUAAAGCACUUUCAGCGGGGAGGAAGGCGUUAAGGUUAAUAACCUUGGCGAUUGACGUUACCCGCAGGAGAAGCACCGGCUAACUCCGUGCCAGCAGCCGCGGUAAUACGGAGGGUGCAAGCGUUAAUCGGAAUUACUGGGCGUAAAGCGCACGCAGGCGGUCUGUCAAGUCGGAUGUGAAAUCCCCGGGCUCAACCUGGGAACUGCAUUCGAAACUGGCAGGCUAGAGUCUUGUAGAGGGGGGUAGAAUUCCAGGUGUAGCGGUGAAAUGCGUAGAGAUCUGGAGGAAUACCGGUGGCGGAGGCGGCCCCCUGGACAAAGACUGACGCUCAGGUGCGAAAGCGUGGGGAGCAAACAGGAUUAGAUACCCUUGUAGUC
rnacentral:rRNA from 1 species